CUUGGUCAUUUAGAGGAAGUAAAAGUCGUAACAAGGUCUCCGUAGGUGAACCUGCGGAGGGAUCAUUACACAAAUAUGAAGGCGGGCUGGAACCUCUCGGGGUUACAGCCUUGCUGAAUUAUUCACCCUUGUCUUUUGCGUACUUCUUGUUUCCUUGGUGGGUUCGCCCACCACUAGGACAAACAUAAACCUUUUGUAAUUGCAAUCAGCGUCAGUAACAAAUUAAUAAUUACAACUUUCAACAACGGAUCUCUUGGUUCUGGCAUCGAUGAAGAACGCAGCGAAAUGCGAUAAGUAGUGUGAAUUGCAGAAUUCAGUGAAUCAUCGAAUCUUUGAACGCACAUUGCGCCCUUUGGUAUUCCAAAGGGCAUGCCUGUUCGAGCGUCAUCUGUACCCUCAAGCUUUGCUUGGUGUUGGGCGUCUUGUCUCUAGCUUUGCUGGAGACUCGCCUUAAAGUAAUUGGCAGCCGGCCUACUGGUUUCGGAGCGCAGCACAAGUCGCACUCUCUAUCAGCAAAGGUCUAGCAUCCAUUAAGCCUUUUUUUCAACUUUUGACCUCGGAUCAGGUAGGGAUACCCGCUGAACUUAAGCAUAUCAAUAAGCGGAGGAA
rnacentral:rRNA from 1 species